UGGGGAAUUUUGCACAAUGGGGGAAACCCUGAUGCAGCGACGCCGCGUGAUUUAGAAGGCCUUCGGGUUGUAAAAAUCUUUUCUAUGGGAAGAAAAUGACAGUACCAUAGGAAUAAGGACCGGCUUAUUACGUGCCAGCAGCCGCGGUAAUACGUAAGGUCCGAGCGUUGUCCGGAAUCAUUGGGCGUAAAGGGUACGUAGGCGGGUAAGCAAGUUAGAAGUGAAAUCCUAUAGCUCAACUAUAGUAAGCUUUUAAAACUGCUCAUCUUGAGGUAUGGAAGGGAAAGUGGAAUUCCUAGUGUAGCGGUGAAAUGCGCAGAUAUUAGGAGGAAUACCGGUGGCGAAGGCGACUUUCUGGCCAUAACCUGACGCUGAGGUACGAAAGCGUGGGUAGCAAACAGG
rnacentral:rRNA from 1 species